rnacentral:rRNA from 1 species
UAGAGUGUCAAGCAGGCAGAUCAAUUUCUUGCCAGCGAAUACAUUAGCAUGGGAUAAUGGAAUAGGACCCUGUCCUCCUAUUUUCAGUUGGUUUUGGCAGCGCGAGGACUAGGGUAAUGAUUAAUAGGGAUAGUUGGGGGCAUUAAUAUUUAAUUGUCAGAGGUGAAAUUCUUGGAUUUAUGAAAGAUUAACUUCUGCGAAAGCAUCUGCCAAGGAUGUUUUCAUUAAUCAAGAACGAAAGUUAGGGGAUCGAAGACGAUCAGAUACCGUCGUAGUCUUAACCAUAAACGAUGCCGACCAGCGAUUAGGAGACGUUGAAUACAAAACACCACCAUCGGCGCGGUCGUCCUUGGCGUCUCGGUCCUUCACGGGGCCGGGGCGCGGGGUGCGGCUUAGCCCGGUGGCACCGGUGAAUG